UUUUUUUUAUAAACAUAGCAGUUUCAGAGAAACUGCUAUGUUUAUGAAUGGGUUAAGCCUUCCCCCUAAUCCUCUAGUGGCUGUCUCAUUGACAGCCGCUAGAGGUCCAUAGGAAAGCAUUGUAAAUGCUUUCCUAUGCGACGGGCUGAAUGUGCGCGCAGCUCUUGCCGCGCGUGCACAUUCAGCCCAGGAGGAGGAGAGAAGGAGGAGAGCUCU